AGGGAGCGCAGGUGGUUUCUUAAGUCUGAUGUGAAAGCCCACGGCUCAACCGUGGAGGGUCAUUGGAAACUGGAAAACUUGAGUGCAGAAGAGGAAAGUGGAAUUCCAUGUGUAGCGGUGAAAUGCGCAGAGAUAUGGAGGAACACCAGUGGCGAAGGCGGUUCUCUGGGCCUUUCCUGACGCUGAGGAGCGAAAGCGUGGGGAGCGAACAGGCUUAGAUACCCUGGUAGUCCACGCUGUAAACGGUGGGUACUAGGUGUGGGGUCCAUUCCACGGAUUCUGUGCCGUAGCUAACGCAUUAAGUACCCCGCCUGGGGAGUACGGCCGCAAGGCUAAAACUCAAAGGAAUUGACGGGGCCCCGCACAAGCGGCGGAGCAUGCGGAUUAAUUCGAUGCAACGCGUAGAACCUUACCUGGGUUUGACAUGG
rnacentral:rRNA from 1 species